GGUACACCGCCUGGUUGCUCCUAUAAAUACCAAUCAUUUAAUUAUUGCAAUUCACAAAUUUUCUUUUCUAUCAGUUCCGCUUGAUUAUUUGUUGCGCCGUGGCUGAAGUAUAAUUGGGUUGAAACAAAUAGCAAUAUGCAACAAUCGGCUUAGGGUGCGAGAGUUUAACUUUACCUCCGUAUACUCUAAGACCGAUCAAUUUGAAUUCAAGAUACUGGAUUUGCAACAAUCGGCUUAGGGUGCGAGAGUUUACCUAUGAUCGAAGUUCAAACAUAUUGCAAGCCUUUAUUGAAGCAUGAUGCCCAAGGACAAAUACAUUGCUGACAUCGAUUGGAGAGCUCUUUAUAUCCAUUUGGGAUUUACAUGAGAUUGGGGGCCUACCCAUCAGAGGUCUUCCUUGUGAAGAAGUAGUGCCUGAAUUCAAAGAGAUCACCAGUGUUGAUGAGAAGAAUGAGAGAUUCAUCCCUCGUACUUGUGAAUUCUUAUUUUUAGCCUUUCAGCAUCUUCAAGAAGGAGAGUCGCAUAAUCCAAGAGUUACUUUAAGCACGUAGAUAAAGUUUUGGUGUAAAAGAGUCUUGAGAUAUGAGGCAGCUCCAGUGAGGAAGGAGAAAAAAUUUGUUUGCUUGAAGUCAAUACAUAACCCAACUGAGAAUAUUCUGAAUGCAAAAAAGUGGUCAAGCGCAGAUGAUACGACAUUUUCUAAACUUGGAGUAGGGUAUGAACACAGAGUUGAUACAUAGUUAGCAACAUUUUUAUCAUGUUGGUUAUGUACCUUUGUGUUUCCUUCUAAAGAUGGAGAUUUCAUUCAUUCGAGAUCUUUUAUAAUUGCAUCUAUGAUAGACAAUAAGCAAAUGUUUAGUCUUGUUAUUCCUUUCUUGUCAAGCAUUUAUAAUGGUUUAAACAGGAUUACCAAAGGUUCGCAACUUGAGCA